rnacentral:rRNA from 1 species
AUUGAACGCUGGCGGCAGGCCUAACACAUGCAAGUCGAACGGUAACAGGAAGCAGCUUGCUGCUUCGCUGACGAGUGGCGGACGGGUGAGUAAUGUCUGGGAAACUGCCUGAUGGAGGGGGAUAACUACUGGAAACGGUAGCUAAUACCGCAUAACGUCGCAAGACCAAAGAGGGGGACCUUCGGGCCUCUUGCCAUCGGAUGUGCCCAGAUGGGAUUAGCUAGUAGGUGGGGUAACGGCUCACCUAGGCGACGAUCCCUAGCUGGUCUGAGAGGAUGACCAGCCACACUUGAACUGAGACACGGUCCAGACUCCUACGGGAGGCAGCAGUGGGGAAUAUUGCACAAUGGGCGCAAGCCUGAUGCAGCCAGGCCGCGUGUAUGAAGAAGGCCUUCGGGUUGUAAAGUACUUUCAGCGGGGAGGAAGGCGAUAAGGUUAAUAACCUUGUCGAUUGACGUUACCCGCAGAAGAAGCACCGGCUAACUCCGUGCCAGCCGCCGCGGUAA